rnacentral:rRNA from 1 species
UUUAUUGGAGAGUUUGAUCCUGGCUCAGGAUGAACGCUGGCGGCGUGCCUAAUACAUGCAAGUCGAGCGAAUGGAUUGAGAGCUUGCUCUCAAGAAGUUAGCGGCGGACGGGUGAGUAACACGUGGGUAACCUGCCCAUAAGACUGGGAUAACUCCGGGAAACCGGGGCUAAUACCGGAUAACAUUUUGAACUGCAUGGUUCGAAAUUGAAAGGCGGCUUCGGCUGUCACUUAUGGAUGGACCCGCGUCGCAUUAGCUAGUUGGUGAGGUAACGGCUCACCAAGGCAACGAUGCGUAGCCGACCUGAGAGGGUGAUCGGCCACACUGGGACUGAGACACGGCCCAGACUCCUACGGGAGGCAGCAGUAGGGAAUCUUCCGCAAUGGACGAAAGUCUGACGGAGCAACGCCGCGUGAGUGAUGAAGGCUUUCGGGUCGUAAAACUCUGUUGUUA